rnacentral:rRNA from 1 species
UCUCGCAUCGAUGAAGAACGUAGCGAAAUGCGAUACUUGGUGUGAAUUGCAGAAUCCCGUGAACCAUCGAGUCUUUGAACGCAAGUUGCGCCCGAAGCCGUUAGGCCGAGGGCACGUCUGCCUGGGCGUCA